UGUAGCAGUGAGAGUUAAUGGUGUCUCAUGUGACGGCUAGAGGCGAAAACCAUUCUGCAUCCAUGUAGAUUGCUGAGAUUGCUGAGAUUGCUGAGAAGGCGCCUAUAGCAAGCGUCCAUCCAAGUAGUGGCUCCUGACUAGAGCCCCACCCCUUGGCCUUUGACCGGCAUUACAGCCUUCCAGGGCCCUGACAACACACGAAUUCCAGCAGUUCCAGAGAAGCAGUUCCAGAGGAGAGUACAUCUCCCCUUAUCCUCAACAAAAGGCUAGAAUGUUAGGUUGAAAGGAAAUGGGGACCCCACUGGAAGACCCAUACCUCAUCAUCCUUACUACACCCUGCUGCUGUCAAGGAAGACCGUAGCCACACCUGGAUGCAUCACUUUCAGAUCAGGUGCGUCACAGGGGAUGAUGACCCUGCUGCAGAAAAAUGGACUGUCAUCAAACCCCGAGAAGAUCCACUGAAGAUAAGACUCCCGAGUAGCUGUCACAUCAUGUAUUAGUUAUAGAGUAAUAAUGUUUUGUCUAUGUUCCCUCCCUCUUUUAUGGAGUAUCUGUCUAGACCCCCUUGCCAUAGAUGUCUCACAACUCCUGGGCACCACUUGUCAGGUGGGCAUUCCUUUCUUCACCUCUGGGUUGAAACUCUUUGGUUUGCAUGUGAUUACAUCCCUACUUUUA